GACGAACGCUGGCGGCGUGCCUAAUACAUGCAAGUAGAACGCUGAAGGAGGAGCUUGCUCGUCUGGAUGAGUUGCGAACGGGUGAGUAACGCGUAGGUAACCUGCCUGGUAGCGGGGGAUAACUAUUGGAAACGAUAGCUAAUACCGCAUAAGAGUAGAUGUUGCAUGACGUUUGCUUAAAAGGUGCAAUUGCAUCACUACCAGAUGGACCUGCGUUGUAUUAGCUAGUUGGUGUGGUAACGGCUUACCAAGGCGACGAUACAUAGCCGACCUGAGAGGGGGAUCGGCCACACUGGGACUGAGACACGGCACAGACUCAUACGGGAGGGAGCAGUAGGGAAUCUUCGGCAAUCGACGGAAGUUUGAGCGAGAAACGCGGAGUGCGUGAAGAAGGUUUUCGGAUCGUAAAGCUCUGUUGUCAGAGAAGAACGCGUGUGAGAGUGGAAAGUUCACACUGUGACGGUAACUUACAAGAAAGGGACGGCUAACUACGUG
rnacentral:rRNA from 1 species